CCUACGGGUGGCAGCAGUGAGGAAUAUUGGUCAAUGGACGAGAGUCUGAACCAGCCAAGUAGCGUGAAGGAUGACUGCCCUAUGGGUUGUCAACUUCUUUUAUAAAGGAAUAAAACGAGGCACGUGUGCCUUUUUGCAUGUACUUUAUGAAUAAGGAUCGGCUAACUCCGUGCCAGCAGCCGCGGUAAUACGGAGGAUCCGAGCGUUUUCCGGGUUUUUUGGGUUUAAAGGGGGCGUAGAUGGGUUGUUAAGUCAGUUGUGAAAGUUUGCGGCUCAACCGUAAAAUUGCAAUUGAUACUGGCAGUCUUGAGUACAGUUGAGGUAAGCGGAAUUCGUGGUGUAGCGGUGAAAUGCUUAGAUAUCACGAAGAACCCCGAUUGCGAAGGCAGCUUACUAAACUGUGACUGACAUUGAUGCUCGAAAGUGUGGGUAUCAAACAGGAUUAGAUACCCGGGUAGUC
rnacentral:rRNA from 1 species